UUUCCGUAGGUGAACCUGCGGAAGGAUCAUUAUUGAAACUUGAAUCGUAGCAUUGAGAACUGUUGCUGACCUGUUAAAGGGUAUGUGCACGUUCGACGUGUUGCGUUCUAUUCAUCCACCUGUGCACCUUUGUAGACUUGAUUAACUUUCGCUCUCGAGCGGUUAGAAGGGUUGCUUUCGAGCUCCCUUUGCCUAUCAAGUCUAUGUCUAUAUAAUCUCUUGUAUGUCUAGAAUGUCUUGUUUAUGGGACGCAAGUCCUUUAAAUCUUAUACAACUUUCAACAACGGAUCUCUUGGCUCUC
rnacentral:misc_RNA from 1 species